UCAGGUCUGAGUCCAACAUGUCCCGGCCGGCCACCCAGCACCGUUCCUCUGAUCCAUAGCCCUCCCAGUCCACCAGGUAUUGGAGGAGUCCACCCCAGCGAUGGGAAUCCAACAGUGCUCUGACUGCACAGGCGGGCACCCCUCCAUCCUGUAGGGGAAGUGGAGGUGGUGAAUCCAGCUGUGGUUGGCGUAGGGACACCGCGUAGGGCUUGAGGAAUGAUGCGUGGAACGUCGAGUGGAUUCUAAGGUGUUGGGGAAGCCGGUAGGAGACCGGUGUGAUGCAGCGGAUAACCUUGAAGGGACUGAUGUAUCGGGGGCUGAGCUUCUUAGACAUGUACAUCCCCUGGAGACCUCUGGUGGACAGUCAGACUCUCUAACCGGGCGAGAAGGAGAACAGACGCCUUCGGCUAUCCACCUACCGUUUCAUUUGGGCCUGGCUCUGAAGGAGGUGUCGUUGUACGGUCUGGCACACCUUUGCGCUGGCCCUGUACCAGUCGUCCACAGCUGGAACAUCGCUGGAGCCGGGCUGCCAGGGAAACAACGGGGGUCGGUAGCACAUCGUACACUGGAACAAAGAACAGCCUGUUGAAACAUGCGUCAAGGAGUUAUGUGCAUAUUCUGCCCAAGGCUUGCCAUCUGGUGCCCCUUCCCAAGCUUCCAACUGCCAUGGAGAGCGCUGAAGUUCUCUUCCUCCACGUGUUUCGUCUCUUUGGUCUGCCCGAAGACAUUGUGUCCGACAGGGGUCCCCAGUUCACGUCCCGGUUGUGGAAGGCGUUCUGGAAGAAACUAGGCGUGUCCGACAGUGGUGCCCUGGCAUACGCCAUGCGGGCCUUGUUGGAUUCCGCCGACGUCGGGGAGUCCUGCAGUACCUCAUUGACUGGGAAGGCUACGGGCCGGAAGAGUGCUGUUGGGUGGCUGCUAUGGACAUCUUGGACCCGGACCUGAUCGCAGCUUUUCACAGACACCAUCCUGACCAUCCAACGCCCAGGCCUAGGGGGUGUCCCCCGGCUCGCCGUUGAGCGGCAAGAGCCGCUCGUGGAGUGGGGGGGUACUGUCACGCCCACGAACUCGGGGACAAGC